CGGAGAGUAGCUCAGCCUGGUAGAGCACUGCUUUCGGGAGGCAGGGGCCGGAGGUUCGAAUCCUCUCUCUCCGA
rfam:Azospirillum sp. B510 plasmid pAB510a DNA, complete genome.